rnacentral:rRNA from 1 species
UUGACCUCAAAUCAGGUAGGACUACCCGCUGAACUUAAGCAUAUCAAUAAGCGGAGGAAAUCCUAUGAUUCCUGCGGUCCCAUGGAACUCCACCUUGAGCACUGA